UACGAAGGGGGCUAGCGUUGCUCGGAAUCACUGGGCGUAAAGCGCACGUAGGCGGGUCUUUAAGUCAGGGGUGAAAUCCUGGAGCUCAACUCCAGAACUGCCUUUGAUACUGAGGAUCUCGAGUCCGGGAGAGGUGAGUGGAACUCCGAGUGUAGAGGUGAAAUUCGUAGAUAUUCGGAAGAACACCAGUGGCGAAGGCGGCUUUCUGGUCUGUAACUGACGCUGAGGCGCGAAAGCGUGGGGAGCAAACAGG
rnacentral:rRNA from 1 species